GUAGGUUGUUUGUUAAGACUGCUGGUGAAAUCCCUAGACUCAAUCUAGGAACUGCUGUGGUGACUAACAAACUCGAGUAUGGAAGAGGGGGAUAGAAUUCCAGGAGUAGCGGUGAAAUGCGUAGAUAUCUGGAGGAAUACCAAAGGCGAAGGCAGUCCCCUGGUCCGAUACUGACACUGAGGUACGAAAGCGUGGGGAGCAAACAGGAUUAGAUACCCUGGUAGUCCACGCCCUAAACGAUGUCGAUUAGCCAUUGGAAGGACCCCUUUUCCUUUCAGUGACGUAGCUAACGCGUUAAAUCGACCGCCUGGGAAGUACGACCGCAAGGUUAAAACUCAAAGGAAUUGACGGGGACCUGAACAAGCGGUGAAUGAUGUGGAUUAAUUCGAUGCUACGCGAAGAACCUUACCUACCUUUGACAUGGCCAAAGUUCUACCGAGAGGCGGAAGUACUCGUAAGAGGAUUGGCGCACAGGUGCUGCAUGGUUGUCGUCAGUUCGUGUCGUGAGAUGUUGCGUUCAGUCCCGCAACGAACGCAACCCUUAUCUUUAAUUGCUCCUAUUUUAACAGGCACUUUAAAGAAACUGCCAAUGAUAAGUUGGAGGAAGGUGGGGAUCACGUCAAGUCCGCAUGGCCUUUAUAGGUAGGGCUUCACGCGUCAUACAAUGGUUAGAACAAAGAGCUGCAAAUUCGUAAGAAGGAGCCAAUCUCACAAACCUAACCUCAGUUCGAAUUGCGGUCUGCAACUCGAGCGCAUGAAGCCGGAAUCGCUAGUAAUCGUGGAUCAGAAUGCCACGGUGAAUACGUUCUUAGGUCUUGUACACACCGCCCGUCACACCAUGGAAGCGAGUCUUACCAGAAAUGGUUAACCUAAUCCAUAUAUCAGGAAACCGGGA
rnacentral:rRNA from 1 species